UUAUAAUUAUUACUAAUAAAUAUUAAAUAUAUUCAUCCUACAGUUUUUAAUUAUUGUGUUGUUGUUUUUGUUGUAAAUGGAAUCAGAAGUGCUACUGCAAUCACUGUAAAAUUGUUAUGAAGCUAGCCAUUAAAGCCCUUUACCCCAUUUGUUGAUUUGGCACAGUCAUUGGUUAAAGUGUUGCACAUUUGCUUGCACAAGGGAUGAAACAUAGAGAAGUUAACUUGUUUUUUAUUUUCUUGGCCCACUUGUAGGUGCCUUGCUAAGACGAUCUGUCUCUAGACCAUUUCCGCUCACACAAAGGAUCUGAACUAAACCGCAUGCCAGAGUUGACCAGCCAGGUACAUGUACAUGUAGGCCUCAAAGUGACAUUCCCUCCCCCACCCUUGAGCACAAACAACAUUCAACGCUAUAUGGUGUAUAAUUUGUUUGCAAAUUUGUUUGUAGGCCAACUGUUGAAAGCUGCUGAAUUGAAAGAGGAUGAAGAUAUUUUAAGGCAUAUCAGAGGGCAAGAUUGUGUGGCCAUUGAGGUCAGAUAUCACCAAAAAUGUUAUAGGCAAUAUACAUGUACUGAAUUUCUUAGACAGUUAUCAGAAAGCAAAGAUGACUAGCCCUCCGUCGAAUAUUAAACCACAUACAAUAUAUUCUGUGAAGAUGUCAUAAGAGAAAGAAUCAUAAAUGGCCAGCAAAGUUGUCUUGUACAGAGAGAGAGAGAGAGAGAGAGAAAUGGGGUUUAACGUCCACUCAACACAAACUAGGUCAUUUUGGGACUAACAUACGGUUUCAAUUUUAUUUCAAUAAUUCGCUUGCGCGUAUGGGUCUUUAGCAGUGAGAGGAAACCGGAGUGCCCGGAGGAAACCCACGAGGUUGAGAAGACGCCUCUAUCUCCAUGCCACAUACGCUCACACCUGGGAUCAAAGCCACAGCCACAAGCCAGAGGUGACCGACCAGCUAGAGGUCGAAGCGCGGCACUCUAGGCCAUCCCAACCCCCCUUUCUUGUACAGACCUGUGCAUGUGUAGUCAAUGUGAAAAUGAAAAAAAAACUGUUAAAGAGACCGAAUUUGAUGUUAAUACAUUUAGUGACAGUGAUGAUGAUAAUGAAGAUUAACUUUGAUGACAUUUGAUGUGCAGAGUAACUGUUUAAUUUUGAUUUUCAAUGAUUGUUUCACUUUAAUAAAUAAUUUCACAACUGUU